AGCGAACGCUGGCGGCAGGCUUAACACAUGCAAGUCGAGCGGGCACCUUCGGGUGUCAGCGGCAGACGGGUGAGUAACACGUGGGAACGUACCCUUUGGUUCGGAACAACUCUGGGAAACUGGAGCUAAUACCGGAUACGCCCUUAUGGGGAAAGGUUUACCGCCGAAGGAUCGGCCCGCGUCUGAUUAGCUAGUUGGUGAGGUAACGGCCCACCAAGGCGACGAUCAGUAGCUGGUCUGAGAGGAUGAUCAGCCACACUGGGACUGAGACACGGCCAGACUCCUACGGGAGGCAGCAGUGGGGAAUAUUGCACAAUGGGCGCAAGCCUGAUGCAGCAACGCCGCGUGCGGGAUGACGGCCUU
rnacentral:rRNA from 1 species